UUUUAUUUGAGAGUUUGAUCCUGGCUCAGGAUGAACGCUGGCGGCGUGCCUAACACAUGCAAGUUGAGCGAUUUACUUCGGUAAAGAGCGGCGGACGGGGGAGUAACGCGUGGGUAACCUACCCUGUACACACGGAUAACAUACCGAAAGGUAUGCUAAUACGGGAUAAUAUAUUUGAGAGGCAUCUCUUAAAUAUCAAAGGUGAGCCAGUACAGGAUGGACCCGCGUCUGAUUAGCUAGUUGGUAAGGUAACGGCUUACCAAGGCGACGAUCAGUAGCCGACCUGAGAGGGUGAUCGGCCACAUUGGAACUGAGACACGGUCCAAACUCCUACGGGAGGCAGCAGUGGGGAAUAUUGCACAAUGGGCGAAAGCCUGAUGCAGCAACGCCGCGUGAGUGAUGAAGGCCUUCGGGUCGUAAAACUCUGUCCUCAAGGAAGAUAAUGACGGUACUUGAGGAGGAAGCCCCGGCUAACUACGUGCCAGCAGCCGCGGUAAUACGUAGGGGGCUAGCGUUAUCCGGAUUUACUGGGCGUAA
rnacentral:rRNA from 1 species